UAGUUUGAUUACUAGCUUUUGUUUACCGC
rnacentral:sRNA from 1 species